GAUGAACGCUAGCGGCAGGCUUAAUACAUGCAAGUUGAGGGGCAGCAUGAUAUACGCGAGUAUAUUGAUGGCGACCGGCGGACGGGUGAGUAAUAGGUAGGAGACCUACCUCAUACAGGGGGAUAGCAUAGAGAAAUCUGUGGUAAUACCCCAUGAGGUUAUAUGAAUAGAGGCAUAUAAUCAAAGCAUAAGCGAUUAUGCGGUAUGAGAGGGGCCUACUGACCAUUAGCUAGUUGGUGAGGUAAGGGCUCACCAAGGCGAAGAUGGUUAGGGGUUUUGAGAGAGAGACCCCCCACAUUGGAACUGAGAGACGGUCCAGACUCCUACGGGAGGCAGCAGUAGGGAAUAUUGGGCAAUGGGCGAAAGCCUGACCCAGCCAUGCCGCGUGAAGGAAGACGCCUUAUGGGUGUAAACUUCUUUACUACGCGAAUAGAGGUUAGUACGAGAUACUAAUAGGAAGGUAGUGUAGUAAAAGACACCGGCUAACUCCGUGCC
rnacentral:rRNA from 1 species